rnacentral:rRNA from 1 species
UACGUAGGGUGCGAGCGUUAAUCGGAAUUACUGGGCGUAAAGUGUGCGCAGGCGGCCGCGCAAGUCGAGUGUGAAAGCCCCGAGCUUAACUUGGGAACUGCGCUCGAAACUACGCGGCUGGAGUGUGGCAGAGGAAGGUGGAAUUCCAGGUGUAGCGGUGAAAUGCGUAGAGAUCUGGAGGAACACCGAUGGCGAAGGCAGCCUUCUGGGCCAACACUGACGCUCAUGCACGAAAGCGUGGGGAGCAAACAGG